GCGGAGGAAAAGAAACCAACAGGGAUUGCCUUAGUAGCGGCGAGUGAAGCGGCAAAAGCUCAAAUUUGAAAUCUGGCACUUUCAGUGUCCGAGUUGUAAUUUGAAGAAGGUAUCUUUGGGUCUGGCUCUUGUCUAUGUUUCUUGGAACAGAACGUCACAGAGGGUGAGAAUCCCGUGCGAUGAGAUGUCCCAGACCUAUGUAAAGUUCCUUCGAAGAGUCGAGUUGUUUGGGAAUGCAGCUCUAAGUGGGUGGUAAAUUCCAUCUAAAGCUAAAUAUUGGCGAGAGACCGAUAGCGAACAAGUACAGUGAUGGAAAGAUGAAAAGAACUUUGAAAAGAGAGUGAAAAAGUACGUGAAAUUGUUGAAAGGGAAGGGCUUGAGAUCAGACUUGGUAUUUUGUAUGUUACUCUCUCGGGGGUGGCCUCUACAGUUUACCGGGCCAGCAUCAGUUUGAGCGGUAGGAUAAGUGCAAAGAAAUGUGGCACUGCUUCGGUAGUGUGUUAUAGUCUUUGUCGAUACUGCCAGCUUAGACUGAGGACUGCGGCUUCGGCCUAGGAUGUUGGCAUAAUGAUCUUAAGUCGCC
rnacentral:rRNA from 1 species